AUAGAUAGAUUCAAACACGCCCUAAAUAUAUUUAUACCCUAAAUCUGCGAAUAACCCUAAUUUUGCACUUCACCGUCUUCCGCCUCAGCACGCCAUCUCCGAUUGUCUCCUUCCGACAUCUGUGGCCGCGUCCUCCCCUAUUCCACCGCCUUCGACGGCGCGACUUUGCCUCCUUCUCGCAUCACCUCAGCAACGUCGUCCCCCCACCCCCAUCUCUGCCUCCGCGCUGCACCGAACGCCGACACCAGCGCCGCUCCUCGACCUGAAAACUUCCGCCGCUCUGUCACAAUGGGUGGAGGAUGGUGUAGCAAUAUGCCAUCUUGUUCGGCUCGGAAGAGAACAAGAUUAGGUUCAUCAACUUAUAUGGCCAAACAAGAUCAGUUUUGGCGGGUAGCUUGAGCCAUGAUCAAGUUCAGAAUCCCCGCCCUUCUCACAGGAUGCUCUGCUGGUGGUUUGGCCAUUCUCAUACACUCGUGAAAGGAUAAUAUUGGUUGAUGAAGAGAUUCGUUGGUUUUGGAUAUGAGUUGAAUCAUUGUUGUAGCUGUAUAGACCGUAAGUGGCAUCUCAUAUUCUCCAGAAGGUACUAUCUAUGAUAGCGCUACAGAGCCACAGGUACUGAUCUACUUGGGAAGCCCUAUCAAGGUUCCAAGUGGUGAAUUAACAAGAGCUGAACCUAUCUACUUGUUCUUGGCAAGAAAAAGCUUAUAGAAGAGCUCCAAGUUCUUGGGUCUGUGUAUAUAAAAGAGCAUGAAGAUCACAUUUUCCUAUGGCGUAGAAAAGAGCUUAAAGCUCACUUGUCCCUCUUGUUUAUAAAAAAGAGCAUAAAGGCCACAUGUCUUUAUCGCUUCUUAAAGAGCUUAAAGCUCACGUAUCCCUAUGGCUUAUAAAAGAGCUUGAAGCUCAUUCGUCUUGCUGCUUAUAAAAAAGUAUGAAGCUCACGUGCCUGUCGCUCAUAAAAGAGCUUAAAGUUUGCUUGUCCCUGUAGCUUAUAAAAGGGCUUAAAGCUGAAAGCUCAUGUGUCCUAUUGGCUUAUAAAAGAGUUUAAAGCUCACUUGUCCCAGUGGUUUAUAGAAGAGCUUAAAGCUCACUUGUCCGAAUCACUUAAGAAAGUGCUUAUAUCUCACGCCUCCCUGCUCUGCAUCUAGAAGACCAUGAAGCUUACGUGUCCCUGUGCCUUGUAAAAGAGCUUACAUCUCACUUGUACCCGUCUCUUAUAAAAGAGCACAGCGCUUAUGUGUUCCUGUUGCUUACAAAAGAGCUUAAAGCUUUACAUGUCCUUUUUGCUUAAAAAAGAGCUUAAAGCUUACUUGUUCCUGUCGGUUAUAUAAGAGUUUGAAGCUCACUUGUCCCUAUCGCUUACGAGUUACGAUAGAGUUCGAAGCUCACAUGUCCCUGCUGCUUAUGAAAGAGAUUUAACGGUCAUAUGUCCCUCUUUCUUAUACAAGACCUUGGUGCUCAUGUGUCCAAUGAUUAUAAAAUAGUACGAUGCUCAUGUGAAAGCGCUCAAUGCUCGCGCGUCUGUGUUGCUUAUGAAAGAUCUUUCUCAAGCGUCCCUUUUCUUGUGAAAAGAGCUUAAUGCUCAUGUUUCUCCUAGAAUUUGGUGCUCACAUGUUCCUAUUGCUUAUAGCUCACGUGUCCCUGCUGCUUAGAAAAAAAACUUAACUCUCAUGUUUCUUUGUUGCUUAUAGAAGAGCUUAAAGCUCACUUGUCCAUCUCACUUGUAAAAGAACUUAAAAGAGCUCACGUGUCAUGUUACGUUUGAAAGUGUUGGAUUCUCAAUCGUCCCUGUUGCAUCUAAAAGAGUUUAAUGCUCACGUAUCCCUUUUGCUAUUAAAAGAGCUUAAUGCUCAUGUGUCCCAAUAAUAGCACACUGCUCAUAUGUGAAAGCUCUUAAUGGUCACGUAUCUGCAUGAUGCUCAGAUAUCCCUACUGCUUAAAAAAUAGAAAAAAAACUUAAUACUCACGUUUCUUUGUGGCUUAUAGAAGAGCUUAAUGCUCACUUAUCCAUCUCACUUGUAUAAGAGCUUAAAGCUCACUUGUCCCUACUGCAUAUAAAAACAGCAUAAAACUUAUGUCCUUUUGGCUUAUAAAUGAACUUAAUGCUCACGUAUCACUCAUCGCUUGAUUCUCGCAUGUCCCUACUGCUUAUAAAAGAGAUUAAAAUUCACUUAUCGCGUGGCUUAUGAAACAGCCUAAAGCUCACUUGCCCUUGUUACUUAAAAAGAGCAUGAAGCUCACUUGCCCAUGCUGUUUAUUGAAAAACAUAAAGCUCACUUGUCCCUGUCAUUUAUAAAAGAACUUAAAGCUCACUUAUCCUCAUCGUAAUUAAAGAGCUUAAAGCAUAAAGCUCACUUGUCCCUGCUGCAUAUUAAAGAGCAUAAAGCUCGCGUGUCCCUAUGGCUUAUAGAAAAGCAUAAAGGUUACUUGUCCCAGUCUCUUAUAGAAGAGUUUAAAGCUCACGCUCCCUGUUGCUUAUAAAAGAGAUUAAAAUAAUCUUGUCGAUGUCCCUAAUAGAACAACUUAAAAGCUCACAUAAAAGAGCAUAGAGCGGAUAUAAAAUAGUUUAAAGCUCUCUUGUCUCUCCCGCUUAUAAAAUAGCAUAAAGCUCAGCGUUUCCUGCCCAUUUAUGAAAAAGCUUAGAGGUCACUUGUCCAUCUCGCUUAUAAAAGGGCGUAAGGCUCACGUGCCCCUGUUGUUUAAUAUAAGAGCUUAAAGCUCACUUUUCUCUGCCACUCGUAAAAGACCAUAAAGCUUACUUGCUCCAGCUGCUCAUAAAAGAGCGUAAAGCUCACUUGUCCCUGUCAUUUAUGAAAGAGUUUAACGCUCACUUGUUCCCAUCAUUAAUUAAAGAGCUUAAAGCAUAACGCUCACUUGUCCCUGCUGCUUAUUAAAGAGCAUAAAGCCCACUUGUCCCUAUGGCUUAUGGAAAAGCUUAAAGGUUGCUUGUCCCUGUCUCUUAUAGAAGAGUUUAAAGCUCAUGUGUCCAUGUUGCUUAUAAAAGAGAUUAAAAUAAACUUGUCCAUGUCUCUACUAAAACAACUUAAAGCUCACAUAAAAGAGCAUGAAACUCACGUGUGCUGAUGGAUUAUAGAAGAGCUUGAAGCUCAUUCGUCCUGCUGCUUAUAAAAGAGUAUGAAGCUCACGUGUCCAUGUGGCUCAUAAAAGAGCUUAAAGUUUGCUUGUCCCUGUAGCUUAUAAAAGGGCUUAAAGCUGAAAGCUCAUGUGUCCUAUUGGCUUAUAAAAGGGUUUAAAGCUCACUUGUCCCAAUGGUUUAUAGAAGAGCUUAAAGCUCACUUGUCCGAAUCACUUACGAAAGUGCUUAUAUCUCACGUGUCCCUGCUGCUUAUAGAAGACCAUGAAGCUUACGUGUCCCUGGGCCUUGUAAAUUGUACCCGUCUCUUAUAAAAGAACGCAACACUUAUGUGUUCCUGUUGCUUAAAAAAAGAGCUUAAAGCUUUACUUGCCCCUAUCGCUUAUAAAAGAGCUUAAAGCUCGCAUAAAAUAGCAUGAAGCUCACUUGUCCUUAUCAAUUAUAAAAGGGUUUAAAGCUCACUUGUCAGUGUCUUAUAAAAGAGGUUAAAGCUCACUUGUCCCUCUCACUUAUACAAUAGCAUAAAGCUCACGUGUCCUGGUUGCUUGUAAAAUAGCUUAUAGCUGACUUGUCCCUCUCUCUUUUAUAGAAGAGCUUAAACCUCACAUCCCCCUGUCACUUAUAAAAGAGCAUUCAGCUCACUUGUCUAUGUCACUUAUAAAGAGCUCAAAGCUCAUGUGUCCCUGUCCCUUAUAAAAGAGCAUGAAGCGCACAUGUUUCUGUGGCCUAUAAAAGAGCUUAAAGCUCACUUCUCCCUGUUGCUUAUCAAAGAGCUUAAAAGUUACUUGUCCCUCUCCAUUUAUAAAUGUCCCUGUCGUUUAUAAAAUAGCAUAUAGCUCAUGUGUCCUUGAUGCUUGUAAAAGAGCUUAAAACUCAUGUGUCUCUAUUGCUUAAGGCUCAUGUGUCCCUAUUGUUUAUAAAAGAGCUUAACGGUCACAUGUCUCUUAUAAAAGAGUUUAAAGCUCAUGUGUCCCUGUUGCUUAUAAAAGAGAUUAAAAUAAACUUGUCCAUGUCCCUACUAUAACAACUUAAAGCUCACAUAAAAGAGCAUGAAGCUCACUUGUCCUUGUCGCUUGCAAAAGAGCUAAAGCUCACUUGUCCCCCCCGCUUAUAAAAGAACUUAAAGCUCACUUGUCUCUGCAGCUUAUAGAAGAGCUCCAAGUUCUGGGGUCUGUGUAUAUAAAAGAGCAUGAAGAUCACAUUUUCCUGUGGCGGAGAAAAGAGCUUAAAGCUCACUUGUCCCUCUUGUUUAUAAAAAAGAGCAUAAAGGCCUCAUGUCUUUAUCGCUUCUUAAAGAGCUUAAAGCUCACGUGUCCUUGUCGCUUAUAAAAGAGCUUGAAGCUCAUUCGUCCUGCUGCUUAUAAAAGAGUAUGAGGCUCACGUGCCUGUGGCUCAUAAAAGAGCUUAAAGUUUGCUUGUCCCUGUAGCUUAUAAAAGGGCUUAAAGCUGAAAGCUCAUGUGUCCUAUUGGCUUAUAAAAGGGUUUAAAGCUCACUUGUCCCAAUGGUUUAUAGAAGAGCUUAAAGCUCACUUGUCCGAAUCACUUACGAAAGUGCUUAUAUCUCACGUGUCCCUGCUGCUUAUAGAAGACCAUGAAGCUUACGUGUCCCUGGGCCUUGUAAAAGAGCUUACAGCUCACUUGUACCCGUCUCUUAUAAAAGAACGCAACACUUAUGUGUUCCUGUUGCUUAAAAAAAGAGCUUAAAGCUUUACUUGCCCCUAUCGCUUAUAAAAGAGCUUAAAGCUCGCAUAAAAUAGCAUGAAGCUCACUUGUCCUUAUCAAUUAUAAAAGUGUUUAGAGCUCACUUGUCAGUGUCUUAUAAAAGAGGUUAAAGCUCACAUGUCCCUGCUGCUUAUGAAAGAGAUUUAACGGUCAUAUGUCCCUCUUUCUUAUACAAGAUCUUGGUGCUCAUGUGUCCAAUGAUUAUAAAAUAGUACGAUUCUGAUGUGAAAGCGCUCAAUGCUCACGCGUCUGUGUUGCUUAUGAAAGAACUUUCUCAAGCGUCCCUUUUCUUAUGAAAGAGCUUAAUGCUCAUGUUUCUCCUAGAAUUUGGUGCUCACAUGUUCCUAUUGCUUAUAGCUCACGUGUCCCUGCUGCUUAGAAAAAAAACUUAAUUCUCAUGUUUCUUUGUUGCUUAUAGAAGAGCUUAAAGCUCACUUGUCCAUCUCACUUGUAAAAGAACUUAAAAGAGCUCACAUGUCAUGUUACUUUUGAAAGAGCUGGAUUCUCAAUCUUCCCUGUUGCAUAUAAAAGAGUUUAAUGCUCACGUGUCCCUUUUGCUAGUAAAAGAGCUUAAUGCUCAUGUGUCCCAAUAAUAGCACACUGCUCAUAUGUGAAAGCUCUUAAUGGUCACGUAUCUGCAUGAUUCUCAGAUAUCCCUACUGCUUAAAAAAAAAAAAACUUAAUACUCAUGUUUCUUUGUGGCUUAUGGAAGAGCUUAAAGCUCACUUAUCCAUCUCACUUGUAUAAGAACUUAAAGCUCACUUGUCCCUACUGCUUAUAAAAACAGCAUAAAACUUAUGUCCUUUUGGCCUACGCUUAUAAAAACAGCAUAAAACUUAUGUCCUUUUGACUUAUAAACGAGCUUAAAGCUCACUUUUCCGUGCCGCUUAUAAACGAGCAUAAAGUUCAUUGUCUCUGCUGCUUAUAAAAGAGUUUAAAGCUAACUUGUCCUUGUCUGUUCUAAAAGAGAGCUUAAAGUUCAUGUUUCCUUGUUCUAUAGGGCUUUAAAGUCCACUUGUCCCUUUGGCUUAUAAAGGAGCUUAAAGCUCAUGUGUCUCUUUUGCUUGUAAAAGAGCUUAACAGUCAUGUAUCCUUCUUGCUUGUAAUUGAACUUAAGUUGUUUCCAGUGAUUAUGAAAUAGCACAAUGCUCGUCUAUUAAAGCAUUUAAUGCUCAUGCGUCCAAGUUGCUUAUGAAAGAACUUGCUCAAGCAUCUUAGUUGUUCAUGAACAGUGCUUAAUGCUCAUGUAUCCCUUAGAGCUUAAUGCUCACAUGUUCAUAUUGCUUAUAAAAAAACUAAAAGCUCAUGUGUCCCAGUGGUUUAUAAAAGAGCUUAAAGCUCGCUUGUCCGUAUCACUUAUAAAUGAGCUUAAAGCUCACUAGUCCCUGCUGCUUAGAAAAGAGCAUAAAGCUCAUAUCCCACUUGCUCAUGUUGCCAACGAAAUAGUUUAGAGCUCACAUAUCCUGAUCGCUUAUAAAAGAGUUUAAAUCUCACAUGUUUCAUUGCUUUUUAAAGAUCUCAAUGCUCACAUUUCUCUAUUGUUUAUGACAGAGAGCCCUUAAGCUCACGUGUCCUUGUCGCUUAUAAAAGAGCUUGAAGCCCAUAUGCCCCCAUUGCUUAUACAAGUGCUUACAGCUCAUGCGUCCUGUUGCUUUUGGAAGAACUUAAUGCUCUUGUUUCCUUAUUGCUUAUGAAAGAGUAAUCUGCUCACGUGUCUCUAAUGUUUAUGAAUGUGGUUUAUGCUUGUGUGUCCCUCUUGCUUAUAAAAGAGUGAAUUCUCACUUGUCGAUGAUUAUUUUUGAGUUUAAUGCUUACGUGUCCCUCAAGUUCAUGAAGGAGCUAAAUUCUCAAAUGUUUCAGUUGCUUAUGAAAGAGCUUGCUCACAUGUCCUUAUUGCUUAUGAAAUAGGUUAAUGCUCAUGCGUUGGUUAAUGCUCAAUUCUCCCUACUGUUUACAAAAGAGUUCAAACUCAUGUUUUGCUUCUUGCUUAUGUAAGAGCUUCAAGCUCAGAUGUUCUAUUGCUUUUGAAAGAGUUUAAUACUCAUGUGUCCCCAUUGCUGAUGAACGAGCGAUAUGCUCAAGUGUCUCUCCUACUUAUAAAAGAGUUAUAUGCUCAA